rnacentral:lncRNA from 1 species
ACGGUUAUUAGGACUUUGUUUUCACCUCAGAAGUGAGACAAAAACGUAACCCCAAUAUUGGGGCCUUAUAAUUAAUGAGAGACGGUGGUAGGGUAAAGAAUUUAAGCAGAAAUUGUGUAAUUGUCGAAAUAUUAAAAUAAAGAAAAUAAAUAUAUUAAACUUGUUAGAAGAGAAAGAAGAUCUAAAGACCCUGGCGUGGAGCAGAA